CAAAAAGAGAGAGGCAUAGAGGACAAAGUUCUGGUAUAAGGAGAGCAAUGGAGAAACUUUUGAUCUGUACACAAAGAGGUGGGAGGGAUAAUCUGAAAAAUGGAUUCUGUGUGUCUCGUCUUAUCCAUCACAGAACCAUCUUUAUCUGAACUCUAGAAAAUACCCCAAAGCUUACCAACAUUUAGGAAUCUCAGGCAAUUGAACUUGGACCUCCUUUCAUACCAAAGUAAAAGUGAGGAAGGUAAUCCGCUGCCUCCUCUGAAUCUUCUCAAAGUUGCAUCGCUUUUGGAAGAACUUACUAUAACCGUUAGCUAGUAUCAAUACUUCUACUAUGGAUAAAAAUAUUUUGUUCUCUUGCUUGCUCUUAUUCGUAGUAAACACAUACCAAAACUUGAAUACUGACUCCUAACACUUCUAAAUUUAAACCAAGUCUGUCUAUUCACCAUGGCUUUUGUUGUGUGCAUAUAUAUGAUUUCAAUAAGUUGUUCAAGGGAAGUAUCUCAAGCAUCGGAGACAAAAAGGUUAAAGCCGAAUGCCACCAGUUUUAGGAAUAUUGGAGGGCAGAAAAUGGAGAAGGGUACAUAAACUGUAGAUACACAUUGUCAUUAAA